rnacentral:lncRNA from 1 species
UCAGGGUUAGAUUUGUCUGAAGAAAUAAGUUAAUAGAAGUUCACUCUUUUUCUCUUCUUUGGGAGUUUUUAUCCUCUGUAGGGGACUGUGGCUGUCAGUGGAGUAACGAGAAAGAGGAACAAAGAUGGGAAAAGACCAGCAGCUAUUUGUGAGGCUGUGGCCAUUCCUGCCUCCACCCCCAGACCACCUGCUGAAGGGAGAGAUGUUAAAAAGAACCACGUUUUCCAUUCCUCAAAGCCAAACAAACACAGAGAGUCGGCUGAGCCUCUCUAAAUCAGUGACUGCCAGGGGAGUAAAAUGCUGAACCCACCAAAAGGCCACAUCUGCGAAAUAAAUCCAUGUCCUGAGAGUCAAAUCAAAACAGAUGUGGUCCCACAGCAGGGACCCCUCCCAUGGAGAGACACAUCUACCUCGGUCCUACCCAGGGCCCUUUCUCGUUGAGAGAUCUGGCCAGGUUAUGAAAACCAUUUACUUCCAUGGUGACUCUUCUUCAGUGAUGCUGGCUGGAGCCCAGCCCUCCUCAGGUCACUUAACCACACCAUCUUAGGGAGCCCAGCCCACUCUCAGCCUAAAGCCAUCAGUGAAAGUGCAAACUCAGGGACUGCAGUCAGUUAGACUCAACAGCUCUCAUCCCCCAGGUCCUGUCCACAGGCUCAGCGCGCUAUGUCCUGCCCUGCCCACGCUGGGGUCAAGAAAGGAAGUUUUGCUCAUCUUCCAAGGCCCAGCUCAGCCGCCCCCUUCUCCAGAGGCUUCCUCCUUCUCCAAGGACAGAUCUGCUACUUAUUUGCCUCUUCCCACAAUACUUUUUUGAAAAUCUUUUCCACAGAGAGCCCCAGGGAUCCACUCGCUGGCCUCAAGGAUUUGUGAAUUCCUAAAAUGUUGUGUGGAUUUUCGUAUAUGAGCAUCUGUAUGUUUUUAUCUAAGGAGAAAACAACGGAUAGCUUUAUCAGGUUCUUAAAGAGGUCUAUGUCCUAAAAACAUUUAAUAUAAAUAUGAAUAUGACUCUACUACAGUAUAACAUUUAUAGCACAGUGUGUGUUGUGAUGAAGAGUUCCAAGCCUGUGCUCCUUGCUAACCUAGAAAAACCUUAGGUGACAUCCCUGGGCUGUGGCCUGUAAGACAGUGCUCCCUAAAUCAUUGCUAGAUCAACGCUGGAUAAGUAACAUCUCCCUCCUUGGAGACGUUAGCAUUCAAAUUACUCACAGUCCUUCACUCUUGCAUUUCCUAGAUGAGUUGUCAACAUUUAUCUUGCCUGCACUUGCAUACCAUUUAUUCAUCUCAUCAACCCCACAAUCUGUUCAGUCCAAACAUACUACUGAUACUGCUAUAUUUAAGGUGCACACUGACCAUAUAAUCUCAGCUCUCACCUUGAUCUCUCUGAAGCAUUUGGAAGUGUGGACACUGUUAAAUUCCAUCUUUCUUGAGACAGUCUCUACUCUUACCUUCCACAAAAUUAUUCACUCUCCACAAAUAUUUAUUAAAUACUUAACAUGUGCCCAGCAGUGUUCUGGGUCCCUGGGAUACAUCAGUGAAAAGAAACAGACAGAAAAAAACCAUCACCCUCACAAAAUUUCCAUUCUAGGGGUGAGGGUGGGGGAGUGAGGGGCUGGGAGGGGUGAGAAGAGGAGGAAUCUGACAGAAAAUAAACAAUAAAUGUAAUAAAUGAAUAAAAGGUAUGGCAUUGUAGAAGGUGUUAAGUGCUAUGGGAAAGACAAGCAAGAGGAAAUGAUAGGUAGGUAGAGAGCUGGGGAGUUUGCAGUGGUCUUCGUGAGAAGCCUCGUUAUGAAAAUGACAUCAGAGCAAAGAUGUGAAUGAUUCCUGGGGAAUCACCAGAGGUUUGGGGGGAAAAGCAAAGUUGGUUUGCUGACUAAGGCACUGACUAAGGAGCAGCAUAAAAACAGCAUGGAACAGCCUAGAACAAUCUGGAACAGCCUAGAAGAGCCUGGAGCAGCUUAGGAGCGCCUGAAGCAGCCUGGAACAGCUUAUAACAACCUGGAGCAGCCUAGAACAGCCUGGAGCAGCCUAGAACAACCUAGAACAGCCUGGAGCAGCCUGGUACAGCUUAGAAAAGCCUGGAACAGUCUAGAUCAACCUGGAACAGCCUAGACUAGCCUGAAGCAGCCUAGAAUGGUCUGCAGCAAACUGGAGCAGCCUGGAAUAGCCUAGAACAGCCUGCAUCAACCUGGGAGCUCAUAUGACUGGGUGGGUGACAGGGGAGGGAGUGGCGAAAGGUAAGUCCUGAGAGGAUGGCCUCACAGGUUUCUGUCAAGACUUUGGCUUUUACCCUGAGUAGACUAAGGAGCUACUGAGGGCUCUGUGAGAAACUGGGCUGUCUAAAUGCUACUUACUCUGACUUCUGUGUCAAAAACAAAUGGCAGGACAUGUUGAGGAUGAGAGCCUCAACAUGUCCUGAGGGAUGACAACCCUCAGGAACCUCUGCAGAUGAUGGCUAUGCAAGGUGGCAGCAGAGGUGAGAAACAUUGGGAUUCCAGAUACAGCUUGAGGACAGAGCCAACCCCAUGUAGUCUUGGAUGCCCCUUAUCUUUCAGUCCUUUGAUUCCAUCUCUCUUCUUUCCUGCUCCCAAGCCUGCUGUCUUCUCUUUCUCAUUGCACUCUCUUCCUUGGUAAACUCGCUUACUUAGGUGGCUUACCUAUGCUCUCACAGCUAGGCAGGGAAGACUCCCCUUUUCUUCCACUUCUACGACAACAUAGCUUCCAUAGGUAGAAUGCCAUGACCAGUCUUUUUAGCUCUUGAGUAUAGUUUCAGACCAAGAACCCAGGUAGCUUUGUUCUCAACCCCUGAGCAAGCCAGCUCUGUCCUGUCCUAAAAACAGAACCAACUCUCUGGACUCCAGCUUAGAAUAAGGAAGACAAUACUUCACAGAGUGCAUUCUUAUUUACUAACCUAUUAUUUAGUUAGACUCCAACAACAACCCUGAGAUAUAAGCAAGGCAGGAAGAAUUACAUCCUCUCAGGAAUUAGUAAACUAAUAGAUUGAGUGACUCAUCCAAGGAUGAAGUCAGUGAGCAGUGGGGACAGGACUACAGCUCAAAUCUCCUGGUUCCCAACAACAAUACCUGCUUUCCAAUCCCUAGAAUCCCAGACCCUUUUCACAACAAGGAGUCUUAUAAAGCAGAAAUAAGAGCACCCCAGUUUUCUGUGCAUUCUGGCAACAAAGUAAUUGUGAAACUGAGACAACUUCUCAGGACUGCUCCACAUUGCCCUGGAGCUCAGGCUCAGCUGGAGUCCCCGAAAAAGCUCCCAGUGAGGGCUCCCCUUCCUCCUGCAGCUCUGUGAGAAAAGUGAAACCCUGCCAGCCCGGAUGGGAUGUGAGCCUAUCUUGCCAUUGACAGGUCUCCUUCCCCCAGGGUACUCUUUAUUUUGCUAUUAACCGAGGGAAAUGAGAUAGCAGCUCAAGUUUUUCUCCGUGAGUUGAGAGUACAGAUGUGCCGCUGUCUGGUGGAGCCGGAUGCUCUGCGGUCGGUAAUGGCCUUCAAACUGAAUGGUUAAUGAAGUCUGACUAAGAUGCUAAGCUUAGGCUAUAAUUAAUUUAGAAUUUGAAAUGGGGAGAAACCUUGGUUGUUUCAAGCUAGUCAAACCAGAGGCUGCCUUAGGGCAGUGAUUCCUUCUCACAUUCCCAUUAAAACCAUGUACCUAUAAAAAGGUAGCUCCAUGUCACCACAGUGGUGACCCUUCUCUCUGACUCAUUUCCCAUUAUGAGCACAAUUAGCGUGCAGCAUGUGUCCUGGGAGAUUAAUGAUCCGCUGGAGGGAAGAAAGAGGAACUUGGGGAAUGGAUCUGGGUGUAGUCAGAGCUCGCCUCUCCCUGGGAGCUGCCUUGGUGCUGUAAAGGUAAACAUCCAGGUGCUGGUUGGACUCCUGGCUGGACUCAGCCUCCAUAGCAGGUGGUCCUCCUGGGGUGGGGUGGGGCUGCCACUGAUGUGCACAGCAGGUUGAGGAGAAGCACCUUCCAGGGGCCCAUAGUUCUUCUGGAGUGGACAGAAGCACCCAACUCCCAGCCACAGCACCCGGGCUGCUACCAUAAUGGUUAUGUCUCUGAGACAGAGACCUUCACAGGAAGAAUUUCCUCUUUCCCUUAGCCAAGUUGGUAUUCUUAGCACUUUCUAGAACUGAAAGAGAGAAUUAAGUGAGAAGAUACCCUCUUUUAUCCCAUGAAAGAAUCGAAUCAAAUAUUCUUAACAAUUAAGACUGUAAAAUUAGACAUAACUCCGAGGUUUGUGGUCUAAAAUAUAGGGUUGAUGUGAAAAGAACUUGAAAUAGAACAAAGAAGUAAAUAGCUGUGCCGAACCCAAUCAAAGAGUGUGGCAGCCAAGUUGGAGAUCAGUGGAAUGAGAUCCUGUAUAACAUUAAGAGUAGGUGACACAGGCAGGGAGAACACCCUGUUUAGGGAACGUUAGCAGAGUGACUAUAAAACUGGAUCAGCCUGGCAGUCAAGGUUACCAACAAGAAGCAAGACAACAUUCCAGCCAGAAAUCCACUGGUCUUAAAAACUCCUCAGCUGGGACAGACAACCACAAAAGUUGUGUGAGAAGAUAAUCCAAAAGUUGUUUGAAAUGACAACUGUUUCCUUAGUAGGAGAACACCUUUCAAACACCAGAUUUGAAUUUAGAAUACUUCAGAGGAAUCAACACAUAGUAACAUUAUUUCAUGGUUAAGGUGUUUAGAUACAAUUUUCCAUGGGUCUUUCAUAUUUCUGCAUGUCUUGUGAGCAGAGGGUGUUUUUCUGAACAGCUUUGGAAGACAGAGAUGGUGCCCUUCAAGAACAAAGGGCAGGUUGGUUUGCUCUCUGAUAUAAUAAAGAUAACGUCUCCCUCCAAUGCAAAGGUCAAGUGGACUUACUGCCUAUUAUAAAAGAUUCCAGAUCUCUAAGCUUGGGGUUCCUCUCCUGUAACCCAUUGUGUGUAAAGAUGCCUCUGGGCUCUUCACAUCACCCUAUGGGAACUGGGACUUGAGGAACUGGUGUAAAUGUUGAUACUCUGUCUACUACUAUUGACAUAACAAAGUUCUUUGUCUCUGAUCCAGGAUCUCAUGUCUUUUGCCAGCUUUGAUGAAACUUGCUAGUUGGAAAGCAGAGUGAAAUCUCAGGCUCUACAACUCUUGACAUAAGUAUUUUAUUCAUUUUUGGUGUCUAUGUUCUUGAAGUACUUAAGAGAUUUGGGGCUAUGCAAGUAAUAGACCAACUUUGUGAUUCAUAUUAAAAUUAAGUGAUUUAAACGCAGGAUUUUUAAUUUGAAAUUAUUUAAGUUUAUAAACAGUAUGGGAACAUUUAGAAAGACCUGGAUUCAUUCUGUUUAUAAUUGUAAUCCAUUAAAUUUAUGAAAAUUACCUAAGAAAUCUGAAAAGGUUUGGUUUAGCCAUCAGGCAAUUGAAGUACCUAAACAAGGAAAUAAAAUAUAUUAAAUUUAUAAAUCUUACUUUAAAUGUUUGAAUGAGUUAAAUAACUCCGUUUGUAUUGGGACCAAACUCUUUAACUCUUUAAGACUGCCUUAAAUCAUUUUGUUAAAAAUCUUAGAUUGAUUUCCACUUCUAUGUAGAGAGUUAGAAAGUAUAUCACCUCUACCCUAACAACAAGAAUAUGACAAAUGAAAUACAAAAUGAUAAUGUUCCUUGAACUCAUCAGAGGACUGACAUCACAGGGCAACUAAGCAACUAGAAUUCCAAAGAAGGACAAGCCCCUCCAAAGACAGGAAGCAUGAGGGCAGGCUCAUCAGUGUCAGAGCAGGGGAGACCAGCACAGACACCUUACAAGCAGGUAAGGCAAAGUCAGCUAAAAUGCCAGUUGGUUGGAAGAGACCAGAAACAGUGGAAGCCAGAAGGCAAUGGAAGGCUUUUAAAGUCCUGAUAGACAUUUUCUGUUGGUAGAGAUUUCCACACCUAACAAAUAUACAUUUUUAAAUGGAGGUGAAAUAAAGACUUUUUUCAGGCAAAUAAAUGCCGAGAGAACUCAUUGUUAGCAGCCCUCAUCUGUAAGAAAUAUUAAAGGAAGUUUUUCAGACAGAAGGAGUAUGAUGCCAGUCAGAAACUUAGAUUUAUACAAAGAAACGAACUUCAGAAAUGGUGAAUAUAAAGGUCAUUUUUGCCUAUUACUAAUUGCCUUAAAAAAUACUUGACUAUUUGCAGGGAUUGAUAAACUUUCUUUCAAUAGAGGACCACAUAGUAGAUACCUUAGGCUUUGUGGGCCCGUGGUCUCUAUUGCAACCAUUCAACUCUGCCAUUGUAGCCUGAAGGCAGCCAUGCAAACAAAUGGCUAUAUUCCAAUAAAACUUUAUUUACAAUAACCGGUGGCAGGCUGGAAUUGGCACAAUCACAAAUCAGUGUGCCUAUCACUGGCCUAAAGCAAAAAUGCUCACAAAGUACUCUACUCUAGGAUUUAUGACAACAAUAAGAAAACAUAUGGCAGUAUACUUUGUAAAGUUCUUGCACUUCAAAUGAAAUGGCAUAAUAUUUGAAGUUAGACUGUGAUAAAUAAAUAUGUACACAGUAAACUCUAAAGCAACUAAAAAUAAAAAGAAUAGUAUAACUAAUAAACUGAGUAUAGAGCUAAAAUGAAAACAUAGAAUGCUUAAUCUGAAAAGCAGGUAAAAAAAGAAGAAAAAGGCAACGAGAAACAUGUGAGUCUAAUAGAAAACAACUAGCAAAAUGGUAGAUUUAAAUCUACCAUUAUAAAUAUUUGUACUGAUACAAACCAUGUCAAUACGUAUGUCACAUGUAAAUGGUCUAAACACCCAAAUUAAAAGGCAGAGAUUGUCAUAUUGAAUUUUUUUAAAAAAAACUGUAUGCUGUUUACAAGAAAUAUACUUUUAAUAUAAAGAAAAAAUUUAAAAGUAAAAACAUGGAAAAUGAUAUAUUAUGAAAUCACCAAUCAAAAGAAUGUUGGAGUAACUUUGUUAGUAUCAGACAAAGUAGACUCUGGAACAAAGAAUUAAUACCAGGGAUCAAAAGUAACAUUACAUAAAGGUGUCAAUUCACUGAGGAAGGAAAGCUUUUAGAUUCUCUGGGUCCCAUUCAAAACUGGAAGCCAGUAAAUGAGUUAGAAUAGUAUUUCUAAGUGUGGUAUAUGCUAUCUUCAAAAUCUGAAGUGUUCUAAAAAGUGUUAUGCCUUUGUCUUACAGCUUGUAGGGGCUAUCCUGAAAUGCCCUUAAUCAUCGGACCUCUAAAAACUUUGCCAAAGUAGCAGGUCCCUGAAGAUUUUAGAGUGUAUCUCCUACGCUCUGAUGCAUAUAAAUCCUACCAGGGUAUUCAGAAUACUUACCAUUUCCUGUUAACUGGGUUUGCUUACCAUCAUGUCCUCAAUAUGGUGGACUAACAGAAUGUUCUGCAGAAUAUCUAGACAACCAAAGUCCUUUGAAUUGUAUUUUGACAAACAAUAGGAAAUUCACAGAGCUCUAGGCCAAUGCUGUGAAUGUAUGUUGUUUUCUAUUCCUAGUAAAGGCAAGUUGCUUCUGAUCCUCUCUCCUAAUAGAAAUUUAAGAAAAUGCAUCUGCCAUGGCCAGGCAUGGUGGCUCAUGCCUGUAAUCCCAGCACUUUGGGAGGCCAAGGUGGGCAGAUAAUCUGAGGUCAGGAGUUCAAGACCAAUCUGGCCAACGUGUUGAAACCUCGUCUGUACUAAAAAUACAAAAAUUAGCCAGGCAUGGUGGCACGUGCCUGUAAUCCCAGCUACUCUGGUGGCUGAGGCAUGAGAAUUGCUUGAACCCAGGAGGCGGAGGUUGCAGUGAGCCAAGAUCAUGCUAGUGCACUCUCCAGCCUGAGCUACAGAGCGAGACUCUUGUCUCAAGGAGAGAGAGAGAGAGAGAGAGAGAGACAGAGAGAGAGAGAGAGAGAAAAUGCUUCUGGCAGAUUAUUAUACUUGGUGAUAGAUGUCGUGUUGAUCUAUUCCAGCACUCAUAACUGUGGCUACCACUUGGUUAAUUUGUCAGUAGUCCAUCUUCAUCUGCAAUGCACCAUUUCAUUUUUGUGUGGUGGGACUAGUAAAUUAUUUAGGGAUAUGAUGGGGACCACCAUAAAGUCUGCCUUCCUUGAGCCUUGGAGGGUGGCGUUCUAAUCCAGAAAGAGGCAGUAUUUCUGAUUUUCUAUCUUGGCUGGGGUGAGGAAUUUUUGAGAACUUCCACUAGGCAUUUCGUAGCAUCAUGGCUCUUAUUUUAUAACAGGUUCUCCCACUGUUAAGUAUGUCUAUUUCGAUUAUGAACUCAGAGACCAGGAAAAUGAACAGCAGCUAGGGCAUAGAUCCAUUGGCCUCACUAUGAGACUGAUUUGAAGCCAGGACUUUCCUCAUAUCAACAGAGGGUGUUAUUAUGGCACUGGUCCCAUCGUGUCAGCUUUAGCUCAGAUCUUGUGUCCACAGCUCUUCAAAGAUCUGAGUCCUCAGAAGAAAUGUCCAUAGAUCUUUUUGGUAAUAGAUAGGGGGUAUCACUACUGUGUAUGCUUAAUGUGGCAAUACAAGGUCAUUUCUCAGGGGUACCCAGCCUCUCUUUCAAUACAGGCUCUGGGUCUGAUAAGUGGCUCAGGUCUGGAAACUGGGCAAGGGAUCAAGAUUUUUCAUUGCAGCAGCUGACAUCAGCCUUCUGCUCAUCAGCUUUUGAUCUUUAGUUACAUAGUUCAAACAAUAUGUUCCAGUCUCACUGCUAGGAACACCACAGUCUAUUAGUUACUACUCCCUGAUUCCUGCAGAUAAGAACCCAGAUUGUCCUUCUAACUUUGCUGCUGUUACAAUCAUUUGUCUACUUUGCCUUUGAUGGGUAAGUGCUGCCAACUGUGCUGUGCCCUUCUUGAAUCCCAUCAUACCCAAUGACACUAAGAGGGAGCCCAGACCCAUAGCAGCCUAGAAAGGUCAAUCACCGGAAGUUUCUCAACAAUGUUGAUGGCCACCUCACUGACGUAUUCCUUAUAUUGCUAAUGGAGAGCAAACCCUCUGGGCUCUCCCAGAGCUGGCUAAUUGGCAGAUUCUCUGGUCUUACAUAGUAAAUCUAUUUUUGUAUGCCUACCUCGCUAGACACUCUACCCUUUCUGCUGCAAAGUUCUGGCAUUAACAAGAGGUCAUUAUUGUUUCCAAGCUGUAAGGCACUAUCUUGGCAGUGCAUCAGGACUGGCUUAGGUGUUCUUGCCAGGACACUACAUCCUGAGCCACAGGAGACAGCCCACAUAUCCAUAAACUCUCCUUCAGUCCAGCAUUCUCAAAAUUCAGCCCCAAACAUGUCUUCCUGGGUCAUGUUGGUACACAUUAGCUAGAUGUUACAUCCCUUUCUGAAACGAUGACAGUAAUUCUCUCAUCGGGCAUUCCAAGGCAUGUACCAAUUAUUGGCCUAAACAGGGAUUGGCAAACUAUGGCCCAUGUGUCAAAUAUUGUGUGUUUUUUGUAAAUAAAGUUUUAUUGAAAUACCCAUUCAUUUACAUAUUGUCUAUGCUGCCUUUGUGAUACAAUGGAAGAGUUGAAUCAUUAUGGCAAACACUGUACAGACCACAAAGCCUAAAUUUUUUGCUGUCUCUUUACAAAAUAAGUCUGCUGACCCCUGGUCUAGAAGCUGUGAGGGCUGGUGGAGGAAAUCUUGAGAAGGGUACUCAUCAUCUCAGAAAGCCUCUGCCUCAAGUGAG